rnacentral:lncRNA from 1 species
UCAAGUCAACAUGACAGGUCAACUCAUGACUCGCUCUCAAAAUUAGAGCAAUGAUUUGAGUUGGAUGGUUUAAUUGCGAGCAUAUAUCGAAGACGGUCGUGUUUUAGUCACGAGUUUGGAUAAGAUUCACCGUCGAUGGUUUCUACCGAAGGAGCCAUCAGCAUCCGACGGGAGCCUCAACUUGUCGUUUCAGUCGCCAUCGUGAAGCCAUGCCCAUCAUCCCCAAGCUCUAGAUCAUCCCUCAGCAAUGGAAUGGUUGGAGCGAUGCAUGAAACAUAAAAGCAUAUCCUCAUCGGACAAAACAGAGUUCGAGUGCACGAUCGACUGUCCGCCAUUCCACCCCAAUAGCUGCGGCAGAUCGGGCGGCUGAAGUUGAUCGAAUGAUUGGCUCUGCCAAGCGAUGCUGACACUCGAGCCGAGGUACGGCCGGGGAACAUCCAUUAUUGAUUACAUGAACAAUGUGCAAGGCAAUGCGGGAUCCGUGGACAGGCGCUUUCUCGUGCCCGAGAAGUGCUCGACGUUAUUCCUUCGUAGUCCGUAAGGGGCCACCCGUGUCCCUUUGGCCGCAUGGGAUGGUGAUCUCUUCCGCGACAUUAUUAAUGGAACGAAAGGCGGGAUCCGCGGCUCCGCAUCGAGCACUCGGUCGUUGCCCGGAGGACGCGAAGGACAGACUAUUUAUCCUGCAGGGAAAGUGCUCGACGUUAUUCCUCUGUAAUCCGGUAAGUGCCCACCCGCGUUCCUUCGGCUGCGUGGGAUGGUAACCUUUUCCGCAACAUCUUUAAUGGAAGUUGGAUCUGUCCAAUUCCGCCUUCCCUAACCUUAAACUUCUGCAACCCACAAGGUGGGAGAAAAGCAUAUAAGACAAUGAUGACAUGCUGGUCUCGUAGAAGGAUGCUUCGGUAAUAUUACACUGUAAGUGAUGCCUCAUCGGCCAAACUUCAUUGAAUGAUGGGAUUACACAUUAUCCUCUUAGCUAAUUAUGAUUAGUAUUACAAUCCUUAUAUUUUAAAAAGUAGCAUUCGGAUUUGUAUACUUACGAAAAUAAAAUAUUUAAUUUUAAUUCUCUUUAUGUCGUUAAUUUUGAUGAAAAAAAUUAUGUGUUGUCAUGUAAAAAAGAACUAAAUGAAAAGGAUAAAAAAAUAAUUUUAUUUAUUUUUUAAAUUAUUAAUUUCAUAUAAACUGCUCGCUUGUAGCGUAGAAACUUUAAUAGAGAAAUCGCUCUCCCUUGCUCUGGUUCCCUCCCCUUCGGUUGUGUUGCGGAUGGCAGACCAGCAACGGUGUCGAUGGCACACGAGGCCAAUGAUGUUCCAGAGGAUCAUGACUAAUUUCCUCCACCCCUUCUCUUUCCAACCUACUCGUCCAUCACCCCUUUGUUGAUCUUGCUUGCCCGUCGGAGAUGAAUGCCUAUCGCACCUACUCGCUUGUCGCACCUAGUUCUAUACAUGAGAGCAUAUUGAUCCCCCGGUGUUCUACGAGAUAUUGCCACUACAGCUGCUCACAUGCCGUGGAACUCUACCAGUACGAUUAUUGGUCUGCCCACUAAUAUGUCAACGAUAACCAGUAGGUGGUGGAUGCCAUGGCCUUCCUCGCUGACCUCACUAAUGUCAUCGGCGAUGCCAUCGCCAGGUGGCCACCCCACACCACAGCAUGUUGACAUCUCACUCUGGGCCCUAUCACAGACCAAGAGCGACGGGCACUAGCCGAACACCACCUCGGUGUCACCAAGCAAAGAGGCUGGCCGGAAGGAGUUCCCCCAACCAAGGACACUGUCAGACGUAACGAUUUACAACGAGGGCGGGUGCAAGCUCAGAGCAGUUCAGGUGAUGGUCAACGCUACGCCGAAGCACAACGUCGAUCAAUACAUGAUCUACAUAAAGAAAGGGGUGUAUGAGGAGAUGGUCAGAGUGCUAUUUGAGAAGAUGAACUUGGUAUUUUUCAGAGACGAGGAUGAGCAAAACGAUCAUUACAAGCUCCCAUAAUGUUGACAUGGUUGACAUCUCCACUUAUAACACGACCACCGUCGAUGAGUACAAACUUAACUUUUCUUAGAGUUACCACGUAUAGUUUCCUUUUUGCAAUCAAGAAGAAUUUGUCAUGAAUCCUCAGUCUAAUCCUGACCUAGCCAUGGCUUGGGACCUAACGUUCACCAAUAUCAUGGGGUCCGACAAGCACCAAGUUGUGGCCUUUUGCUUCGAUAGUGACCUCUUUAUGCUUGAGUUAGUGGAGUAACUUGGCUACAAGGACACCCUCUAUGCCCACUCCUUCUGCCAAUUCUAUAAGUCCUACUGCAUCUAUGGCUCCAUCGACUUCAUCUCCGGCAACUUUGCCACCUUCCGUAACUACCUCAUCUUCGUCCUCCCUUGCCAGCUUAAUCCUCAACACGACGAGUCCAACACUGUCACCACACAUGGCCGCACUAACCCCACCCACUCCACUGACUUCAUGUUUUGCAUUGCACCAUCGACGAGAGCAACGAGUACCUCGCGCUUUACUACUCGAAGCCUGUAAUCCACUGUAUGUACCUCAAGAGGCCAUAGAAGGAGUACUCGAGGACGGUGUUCCUCGACUGCAACUUGAAGGAGACCGUGAGGUCGGAGGGUUAGUUGCCAUGGACCGAUGACUUCAUGCUAGUGCGAAAGAGGAGGGAAGGAGGAAAUUGAUCAUGGUCAAAGGCGGCACCCGAAUCUCCUCAAGAACACCACUGGCCUCACGCACCAUCGAUGCUGCCGCUAGUUUGUUGUUUGCAGCGCAAUCGAAGGGGAGGGAACCGGAGGGAAGAAAAGCAAUUUUUAUUAAAACUUACACUAUGAGUAAGAAGUUUAUAUGAAAUUAUAUAAAAUUAAUAAUUAAAAGAUAGUAAAAUUAUUUUUUUUAUCUUUUUUUUUAUAUUUUUUUUACUUGACAACACGUGUAAUUUUUUCCGUCGAUAAAAUUAACAAGAUAAUUAAUGUUAAAUGUUUCAUUUUCAUAAGUAUAAAGAUUUUAAUAUUAUUUUUAAAAAUAUAAAAAUUAAAAUAUUAAUUAUAGUUAAUUAGAAGAGAUAAUAUGUAAUUACCCUGAUGCAUACGAUGUCUUAGCUUUGCCAAAAGUAGGUGAUCGAUAACAUAUGAUUGAUAGUAACAUUCAUAAUAUAAAACCAAACUGAAAAAUACAAUAAAAGAAAGGAAUGAAAAAUCUUUACUCAUAAUAUAUAUGUGUAUAUAUACAUAUAAAUAUACCUUUUUUAAGUCAUAUAGGUUAAUUUUACUCAUAAUUAGAAGUUGUUAAUAUAUGUAAUCAAGAUCGGAUCUUAAUAUUUAAUGGAUAUAUGCUCGGCCGAUGGCAGUUCAGUGAAUAGUGGCAACCUGUGGUCUGUUGCCGUAUCUAAACCUUUAUAACAGUGUUUAGGGUUCCGUAGAUUUCUUUCUUCCCGUUGGGCAACUUCUUUUCUGAUUCGCAGUAAUCUUCUGCGGAUGAAAAGGAUUUGAUCUCAUCUUCCGCAAACAACAUUUUGAUAUUUACUUUUUUAUCUUUAUUUCCAAAGAAAAGAAAAAGAUCUGAUCUUUUGGUUAUUGUUUGACUUAUACGUUUAAUUUGUCUACGCAUUUUGGGGAUUUAUUAGCUCUGAUAUCUAAUGGUUUCGGAUGAGUAAGUUUGAUGAAAUCCUGUUUAUGGGGCGACUUGUUUUUCUUCUUCUUUUGGUUGACAUUACUGCUACGAUUGAUGCCCGAUGAUGGAAGAUCUAAUAUCGUUAGCGGCUUAUGUGGUUUCCUAUUGAGCACUGAUGCUUGCUGCUUCAUCACCUCCACUUAUCCUCUUCUUCUUCUUCUUCUUCUUCGAAGCCAUGUGAAGGUGCUCAAUAAGUAAAGCCAGUCACUAAGCCUCGAUGAAUGCGAAAAGCUAUGAGAUCUGAGGGCUUCAUUAACCAAAGUAAUCUAUCAUAUAGAUAAAGGAAGAGAGGAGAAAUAGUAUUUCUUGCUUUGCCAAAUCGACUUCUUUGUUAAACAGAGUGCUGUGAACAUGACUCUUUACCUGUCCACCUGUUCUUAUGUUGUUGGCAUUGUUGAUAUUUGGGGUGGUAAGAGAAAGACUGAUAUUUGCUAUUUACAGUAUUCUUUAUGCUCCAUUGAAUUUAUUUGCAUUUAACAGUAUUUAAAUAAUUUAUAAUUUUAUUAGAAGUAAAGAUGUGAUGCUUCCAUAGAUUCUGUUGGUGUUAUAGUUAUAAUACUUGAUCAACAGUUAGGUGAUCAAAUUGUGACAGAACAUAUGUGUCAGACAAUGUCUAUGUUUAAUUGUAAUUUCAAGUUCUAAACAUAGUCAUGUUUGCUAAGAACCUUUUUUUGCUUGUACGUUUCAUAGAUUAGUAAAUCACUGUGGGCAUUUAAUAGGUCUGUCUGUAUAAACAUAUGAAGCUUUCUCCCUUUUAUGAUUACAGUAUCACAGUCUUUGCCAGCCACUGACAUGGCAUUUUGUGCAUAUUAGUAAUACAUUGUGUCAUCUUUUGAGUUACAGAAUCGCUAUACUGAUUCAAGUUGCAGUUAGUAGAAAUGGCUAGUUGUACUGUUCAUAUCUGUAGAACUUGCAAAUAUUAGUCUUUACUGUUCAUUCUACACUUCGUUAAUAUACUUGUUUGGGUUUAGAAAUUACUGUGAUUAUUUAUAGGUAGGCAUGAAGCUAUACAAAUAUUAGAAAUUUUGCUCUAUUAAUGAUUAUGAAAAACAAACAUCAGGCUGUGCCAGCCAUUGGCAUGAUAUUUUAUGCCUGUUAGUAUCACUUUAUUUGAUGUUAGUAACAUAUUCAAUUUACUUUAUUUUUAUUAAAUCAGAUGGCUGAUUUACUGUUCAUUUUGUGUUACCUGCAUGCUGAUCCAUAAUUUCUUUGCCGAUCUUUUAAUGAACAGUAUUUUUUUUUUGUCUUGAUUUUUCCCCUUGUGUUUACAUUGUUAUGUUGCACUUAAGAUGAGGCCCAGUGAUGGAAAUCAUUGAUUUGAGCUGCUCCAUGGCUAUUUCUUUUGAGCAUUAACUGCAUGCCUUCUUCAUGUCUUAAAACAAAACCACCACCACAGCCACCAUUAUCACCACCACCGCUACCACUUCACUACUUCACCACUUCACCACCACCACCGCUACCACUUUAUCGUCAUUAUUUAUGCAUGUUAAAUGCUCAUCGAGAAAUACCAUUCUUCGAGCUGCAGUGAAUUUCUAAAGCUAUGAGAUCUGAGGGCCUCAGCUAACAGUGUUUGAUUACUGUCGAUUCAUGAUCACCAGUGGAGCAUCCAUUUGGUUUGACAGCACCUAUCUUAGUCCAUCACCGUGGACAGUAAUUACGGAUGGUAAUGUAGACUUACAUACAUGUGAUGAUCAGGGUUACAUUUUUAGAACAACCAGUGUUGCUGUCUUCAACCAUUGCCUGCCUUGAAUCUUAUUAUGUGUUAUCCUUGUUUACGUUUUGCUUAUAUUGUGCACCUUUGUGUCUGUUGUAAUGCUCACAUAUAUCCAACAAACAUUAUUUACAAAAUAAUGGUAUCAGUUUCAUGUUUUUUGUUGUAGUUGUUGUUGUUAUUAGUGUUUCCUUGUAAUGUUGCUGGUAAAUAUUGCCAACUUCAGCAUUGAUGGAUUUGUAUAGCUAACCAUGACAAAGUUCAAUAAUUGAUCAAAUAAUACCAUACUGUAUUUUUCAUGUGAAUUCUUCUCACAAUUCUAUCAUUUUACAUUAUGGCAUAAGUUAGUUAGUUGGAUAUCUGCUAUCAUUUUAUGUUGUGUUAAUUAUUGUUUUAAUGGAUGCACUUAUCUGCUGUUGAGUGUAUUAUCGAAACUGAUAUAUCUUUUAUUUCUUUUUAUGGGUAUAUGCAGGAACAGGUCUUAUGUUUAAGCAGGACUAAGGAUGACUAAGGAGCUCAAUGUUUCUUACACCGAAAUCGAAUUGCAUACCCUAAAAUUCUUAUAGUUUUGUAAAGGGAAUGGCUGUUGUUCACUGUAAUUUUUUUAUGGGCGACCUCAUAUUGUUGUACAAUUUAGAGG